rnacentral:lncRNA from 1 species
CUGUUAUUGGGCUUUUAGUUUUUUUGUUAUCUGUUAUUGUGAUAAUGUAUUUGCUGUUAACUGUUAUUGAAAAUUGGAAUGUUAGCAUUUUUUUGACAGUCAAUAUUCGGUAUAAAUUGAAGAUCAUUGGCCAUUGGGGUCUACCACUACUAAUAUGUUUGUCCCGUAUUCAGAGAAGGAUUCCAUUAACAUAUACCCAUCACAGAAGUGAGGUCCAGGACAAUUCAAGUAUAUCUUAUGAUUAUCCUUUGUAAUAAAUUCCAUUUUUUUUUAUGAAUGUGUAUUU